UGAUGAUCCUGAUGCUCCCGGGGUUUCGGUGAUUUCAUUCCUGGCAGCUUCCCUACCCGCCACAGGCUGAGAGCUGAGCUUUCUGUGGUCCUCCCAGGAGCUGUGGGCUCCUCGCUACUCCUCUCCAGCUCCCGGAACUGUGCGUGUGCUCAUGUGAACUCUGGGGGGAGGGGCCAGGAAGGCAAGUUCGGAGCAGUUCUUCCCUUUGAGAUCCGUUAGGAGCAGAGCUGAAAUGCUGAGAUGCCUGUCUCCAGCCUCCUGCUGCCUGGACUAGAGCGCCGGGGCUCUUGUGAGUGGAGGAGGAUCUGUGCAUUUCUGCUCGACAAGCGCAGGGUGUAAGCAGGAGUACGUGUUGAGGGCGCUGGGGCUCUCUGUGGGGUGAGGCCUGGGAGGGAGGCUGGCCACUGUGAAGGCCCACUCGGGGCACCCCUCCUCUGGCCCAGUCAGUGGAGAUGACCCAGAGUCCCACUCAGUCUCUUGGAUCUCUCAGCACAGAACCUGCCGAGGGCUGUGGACUCAGCCAUUCCAGCCCUGGGAGACUCCCUGGGGGCCUUCACUGGGGGCCUCAAAGACCCUGACGGCUGUGGUGCAGGACUGGCCCUUCCCCUGUCUCCGCCUGGGCUCAGCAGGACCCGUCACUAAGUAAAGCUGGCUUGGAAGCCAUGCUGGACACACUGGAGAUUGUUCCUGCCGACGCUGCCCGCCACAGUGGUGUGCAGAGACCACUGGAAACCCUGGAGAUCCCAAGAUGUCGACCUCUGGACACCGACAUCACCUACUUGUCCCAGAGCCUUGAUGCUGCCCACCUGAAGAAGCUGGAUCUCAGUGGCAACGACCUGUCCCACGUGGUCCCUGGGCGCCUAGAGACCUUGCUGGAGGAGGUCUCAGGGACGCUGCAGCACCUGGACCGAACCACUGCCGCUGCAGGACGCCCACCUCUGUGCCAUCCUGCCGGCCCUGUGGGACCAGGUCCCGCCUCAGCCUCCUGGUCAUCUCCAACAACCUCAUCCCAAGCUGGCUGUCCUGCACACAAUGCAGCACUUGGUGCUGGAGAAGCUGAAAAUUGUGAACGCUCGCUCUCUGUGUGAAUGCUUUCAAAAUGUGGAUGGCCACAGCGGGUUAACGUGAACGGAGAGGAACUUGUCCGGGUGCGCACCAAGUUUGUGGGAGAUGUUGCAAGCCUUGAGGUGGUCUGACGGGGAGUGGAGAACUUCCGUCUUUCUUCCCGUGCAGUAGCUGUACCAGACAUGACGGGUACGCAGAGCAGUGGUGGGCAGUGCCGUGGCAACAAACACCUGACGUUGAUUUUAAAGAAAACUCUCCAAGUAAAGGAGUAAUCAAAAUAAUCUUGUGGUGGCCUCUUUUAUGUAAUAUCUUGUGUUUUAUAUUCCAGUCUCAGGAUUCUGGGGCUCGAGUUUCAGGAAUGUAGCAGGUGUUAAUUGAGCAUCUGCAGUGUAAUGGGCCACGAUUGUUCUAGACGCUGGGUGUAAAAAGACAAAGAGGACCCCCAGCGCAUGUGCCUGCUGGCCUAUUUGUUACUUCUUUUCUGUUUUGCUUCGCUGCAGUGUUCCUCCUCUCCUGGGCCACAUCAAAUUGGAUGAGUUAGUUAGUCUCGCUGAGCUUCAGUUCGUCACCUGUAAAAUGGAGAAAACGUCAUCUGGUAUUUCGUUAAGAGAAACGAGAGGGGGCCUCUGGGAAGGUGUUGAGCACAAUGCAUUCACUUGCUCAUCACGCAGAAGCGUGUGCUGAGACUCUGCUCUUCCCCAGGCACUGUUCCCAGAGCUGGGGGAGCAGACAGGAAGAGACGCACAAGGUUCGUGCUUUUCAGGAACUUGUACCGAGACGGGUGAUCUAGACAACAAGCGAGUUACCAAACCAAUAAGAUAACUUCAAAUACGAGCCAUGAAAACAAAUCACACAAUGCCGUAGGAGGCUGGGGGUUGAGGGGUGAGUCGUAACUUAUGCUCGGUGGGGUGGGAAUGAAGCCCUCUCUGUGAUGAAGAUGUUUGAACUGAUGUCCGAAUGUUGAGAAGUGAUGAACCAUAAGAUAGGGGGACAGGCGUCCUGGGCAGAGGAAACAAGUGGAGAGGGAAAUACUUCAAAUGAUGAAAGAAAAAAGUUGAUGGGACUGGAACUUAGAGAAGUAGAGGAAUGUGUUAAGAAAUGAAAUUGGUGAUUCCACAGUGACUGGAUCACACGUUAAAUGAAUAUGAGUCUAUUCGUGCUAAUGUUGUCACAUCUUUGAAACUACCGUCAAUGACAUUAUGAAUACUAGGAGUAUAUGCAGAGUAACAUCUUAGUUAUAGCAGAUUUCUCAUCAGAAACUAAUACACAAGUCAAUGAAGUGACAUCUUUAAAGUGCCACUCAUAAUGCUAUACCCAAAGUGCCUUUUAAAAAUAUUAACAGAGGAGAAACAAAGACUUCUUCAUACAAACAAAAACUGAGAGCAUUUAUUGCCAGCAUACCUACUCUACAAGAAACUUUGAAGAGUUCUUCAGGAAGAGAGUAUGAUACUGGACAGAAACGGGGAUCUAUCAAAGAAAUAAAGGUCCUUAGAAAUGGACA
rnacentral:lncRNA from 1 species